GAGAAAGAGGAGCGUUACUAAGUUCAGUGAAACGACUCUGAUUUAGAGAGGGGUGCAGAGUAGGAGGUUGGAUGGCAGACAGGCUUCACAAUGUUGCACAAAAGCCGUAAUAGUAGCUGCAGGGAAUUCCAGGAAUCGUAGUGACACGAAAGUGCUCAGUAACUGUGGUACAACACUCUUCCAAAUCUCAAUACAUUCAAGUUGAACAACAACCUCCAGCAAAAUCUUCUUUCCAACUAGAAGGCACCCCGGGUCUCCAGAGGUUUCAGAAGUCAAAGAUGUGCCAGAUAAAAUGAGAUGGAGGCUACUCAUGUACAGAAUGGCUGUUGACUCCCUAUAACAACCCACAGACCAGAAGUCAAGUACGUUUCAAUGAAGCUCACCGAUCUACCAGGGGGAUAAUUGAGAGGACUUUCGGUCUUUUGAAAAUGCGGUUUCGAUGUCUUGAUCGUUCUGGUGGUGCUAUGCAGUAUGCACCUGAGAAAGUUGCAAAAAUUAUAUUGGUUUGCUGCAUACUGCACAAUAUAGCAAUAAAAAGAGGCUGUCCAUUAGAAGAUGAAAAUACCAUAGAUGCUGAUGAUUUAACAGAAGAAAUAUGUGUAGAACAAGCUAAUAGGCGUGGUAUGGCAACAAGGGACAUGGUUUCCAAACAAUAUUUUGAAGAUUAAAAUUCCUGUUUUCAGUUGAUCAAUAAAAAAACUUUCUUUAUUAA